rnacentral:lncRNA from 1 species
AAAUUCUUUUGUGGAAAAAAUUGUUGAUUAUAAAGGGAAUCAUUUGGGCUGGCCUGGUCCCCUCUUAGGCAGUCAGGAGUAAAAACCAACUCAAAACCCAAACAUUUUUAUUUGGGUUCAAAAACUUAGUAGUUAAAAUAUUUAACAGGGGACUAGUUUCAUAUUCUCUUUUCAUAGUGUUCUGCCAUCAAAAUCCUACUAUUUUGGAUUGUAACCGACAAAAUUCAUUUCACAAAGCACUUGUAAGGCUUACAUGUACAUAACUUAAAAAUAUAUGUAAACCUAUGUACGUCUUGUGGGUACUUUGAGAAACCAUAUGGCAUACCUUUGGGACCCCUCAAAUAACAAUAAUUUCAGUUUAAUUUUUUAUCAAUCACAAAACAAU